rnacentral:rRNA from 1 species
UUCUGGAUAAUCCCCCAGCUUGAUGUGWGAACGGCUUAAAAGAUGGAUAGCGAAUAUGGAAUAAGAGUGUGGGAAAACUGGUACAGGGGGUYUWAUCCUAAAGUAUCUGCAGGACCUAUCGGGCUUGUGAACCAUGUAACCGGGAUUAGAGGACCGGGAUUAGAUACCCCGUUACUCCCGUGGUUAAGUAUAGURUAUAAACAGUCAGUAAUCUGCUUGCCUGGCAACUACGCCUUCUCAGGUAAAAGUCGAAGUACUUGGCGGUCUAGUGAUAAACCAGCCCGUGAGACUUGACGGUURAUCCGAUAAUCCGCGUAAAUUCUACUCUUUCUUGAAUUCCCAGUUGGUGUAUGGCCGUGCAGUGCUUCCUCUAAGGGAGUGGCAAGAUCCCUGUUUAUUAUUAGGAUGAUUUAAGCAAGUGGAGGAAGACAGGUCGUCAUGCCGCCCAUGAAGGAGGCUUAGUUGAGUCACAUUGACAAAAAAUCAAGCGGAACUGUGGAAGGAAGUAGCCCGGGGAAGAAGUAAUGGGUAGUAAGAAGAAAAUAAUUCGUUUUUCUGAAUCGUGAACUCCUAGGUGUAC